rnacentral:misc_RNA from 1 species
UGUCCAUGCCAGAUCCGCCGAUCCUGUCAAAAAGGUGUAAUAAACCAGUUGGAUUAGUUGCAAAGCAGGGCAACUACAAAAAUCCAUUGGAAACACAAAAAAUAAAAUACUGACUAAUAAAACCUUAUAGGAAAAAUAGAACCAAUAUUAUAAAGACAUUCCAAAACAAUGAUUAAGAAAAACUUAACAAACAUCCAAUUCAUCCACCAUAGACAUAUGAAGAAGAACAGCAAAUGGUCUGUAGCAAAAAAAAAAGACUAAAAAAAAAAUAUUUUAGCGUUGAAUAGAUUUGCAGAUUCUUUUCUUCAAGAACCAACUUAAAAAGUGCAUAAAGAAAAACUGAGAUCUUAUAGAACAAGAAGAACUUCAACAAGCCCACUGGUGCAGUAAUUCAAUGAUUAGGACAAAAAUAAAAAUAAAAAUCUGAAGCUGUUUAAAUUCCAAAAACCAAAAUCUGAAGACAUCUUUUUGAGCUUGAACAAGAAAAUAAAUUCCCAGAACGCCCAUGAUAGAAUGGAUCACAAGAGAAACAAACAAAAACAAAAACAAAAACAA